UACGUAGGGUGCAAGCGUUAAUCGGAAUUACUGGGCGUAAAGCGUGCGCAGGCGGUUAUGUAAGACAGAUGUGAAAUCCCCGGGCUCAACCUGGGAACUGCAUUUGUGACUGCAUAGCUAGAGUACGGUAGAGGGGAUGGAAUUCCGCGUGUAGCAGUGAAAUGCGUAGAUAUGCGGAGGAACACCGAUGGCGAAGGCAAUCCCCUGGACCUGUACUGACGCUCAUGCACGAAAGCGUGGGGAGCAAACGAGGAUACGAA
rnacentral:rRNA from 1 species